rnacentral:rRNA from 1 species
UACGAAGGGAUCUAGCGGUGUUCGGAUUUACUGGGCGUAAAGGGCGCGUAGGCGGUUUAGCAAGUCAGAUGUGAAAGCCCUGGGCUUAACCCGGGAACUGCAUUUGAAACUACUAGGCUUGAGUAUGGGAGAGGUAAGUGGAAUUUCCAGUGUAGAGGUGAAAUUCGUAGAUAUUGGAAAGAACACCAGUGGCGAAGGCGACUUACUGGACCAUAACUGACGCUGAGGCGCGAAAGCGUGGGGAGCAAACAGG